rnacentral:rRNA from 1 species
CCUACGGUGGGCAGCAGUCGAGAAUCAUUCACAAUGGGGGAAACCCUGAUGGUGCGACGCCGCGUGGGGGAAUGAAGGUCUUCGGAUUGUAAACCCCUGUCAUGUGGGAGCAAAUUAAAAAGAUAGUACCACAAGAGGCAGAGACGGCUAAUUCUGUGCCAGCAGCCGCGGUAAUACGGAGGUCUCAAGCGUUGUUCGUAAUCACUGGGCGUAAAGCGUGCGUAGGCGGUUUCGUAAGUCGGGUGUGGAAGGCGGGGGCUCAACCCGCGGACUGAACGUGAUACUGUGAGGCGAGGGUAAAGGAGGGGGAGGCGGAAUUCUCGGUGUAGCAGUGAAAUGCGUAGAUA